rnacentral:tRNA from 1 species
GGGGAUUUAGCUCAGCGGCAUAAGCGCCUGCCUUGCAAGCAGGCAGUCAUGUUCAAUCCCUG